GGCGAGAUAGCUCAGUUGGUUAGAGCAUGCGGCUCAUAUCCGCAGUGUCGGAGGUUCAAGUCCUCUUCUCGCUACCA
rnacentral:tRNA from 1 species